rnacentral:rRNA from 1 species
GACGAACGCUGGCGGCGUGCCUAAUACAUGCAAGUCGAACGCAUUUUCUUUCACCGUAGCUUGCUACACCGAAAGAAAAUGAGUGGUGAACGGGUGAGUAACACGUGGGUAACCUGCCCAUCAGCGGGGGAUAACACUUGGAAACAGGUGCUAAUACCGCAUAAUUCCAUUUACCGCAUGGUAGAUGGGUGAAAGGCGCUUUUGCGUCACUGAUGGAUGGACCCGCGGUGCAUUAGCUAGUUGGUGGGGUAACGGCCUACCAAGGCUGCGAUGCAUAGCCGACCUGAGAGGGUGAUCGGCCACACUGGGACUGAGACACGGCCCAGACUCCUACGGGAGGCAGCAGUAGGGAAUCUUUGGCAAUGGACGCAAGUCUGACCGAGCAACGCCGCGUGAGUGAAGAAGGUUUUCGGAUCGUAAAACUCUGUUGUUAGAGAAGAACAAGGAUGAGAGUGGAAAGUUCAUCCCUUGACGGUAUCUAACCAGAAAGCCACGGCUAACUACGUG